rnacentral:rRNA from 1 species
UACGUAGGCAGCGAGCGUUGUUCGGAGUUACUGGGCGUAAAGGGUGUGUAGGCGGUUCUCUAAGUUUGGUGUGAAAUCUCCCGCUCAACCGGGAGGGUGCGCCGAAAACUGGGGGACUCGAGUGCGGGAUGGGAGAGUAGAAUUCCUGGUGUAGCGGUGAAAUGCGUAGAUAUCAGGAGGAAUACCGGUGGUGUAGACGGCUCUCUGGACCGUAACUGACGCUGAGACACGAAAGCGUGGGUAGCAACAGG